GUGGUUUGGAUAAUUCAGUUUCAGAUAUCAUCAACAUAAUUUUAUUAUUGGGUAAAUAUCAUAUCCACUGUGCGAAAUGGAGAAAUAACAAGCCCUCCUUUUCUGGAUUUACAAACACAUUUAAAAUGUUUGUCUUGUCCCUAAGAAAAUUAGAAAAAAAAACAAAACAAAAACAAAACUACAAUGAAAAUAAGCCAGAACAGUGCUCGUUAUUUAUUAUUUUAACUUAAAGAA